CAUGCUCAGGACGAACGCUGGCGGCGUGCCUAAUACAUGCAAGUCGAGCGGACAGAAGGGAGCUUGCUCCCGGAUGUUAGCGGCGGACGGGUGAGUAACACGUGGGUAACCUGCCUGUAAGACUGGGAUAACUCCGGGAAACCGGAGCUAAUACCGGAUAGUUCCUUGAACCGCAUGGUUCAAGGAUGAAAGACGGUUUCGGCUGUCACUUACAGAUGGACCCGCGGCGCAUUAGCUAGUUGGUGGGGUAAUGGCUCACCAAGGCGACGAUGCGUAGCCGACCUGAGAGGGUGAUCGGCCACACUGGGACUGAGACACGGCCCAGACUCCUACGGGAGGCAGCAGUAGGGAAUCUUCCGCAAUGGACGAAAGUCUGACGGAGCAACGCCGCGUGAGUGAUGAAGGUUUUCGGAUCGUAAAGCUCUGUUGUUAGGGAAGAACAAGUGCGAGAGUAACUGCUCGCACCUUGACGGUACCUAACCAGAAAGCCACGGCUAACUACGUGCCAGCAGCCGCGGUAAUACGUAGGUGGCAAGCGUUGUCCGGAAUUAUUGGGCGUAAAGGGCUCGCAGGCGGUUUCUUAAGUCUGAUGUGAAAGCCCCCGGCUCAACCGGGGAGGGUCAUUGGAAACUGGGAAACUUGAGUGCAGAAGAGGAGAGUGGAAUUCCACGUGUAGCGGUGAAAUGCGUAGAGAUGUGGAGGAACACCAGUGGCGAAGGCGACUCUCUGGUCUGUAACUGACGCUGAGGAGCGAAAGCGUGGGGAGCGAACAGGAUUAGAUACCCUGGUAGUCCACGCCGUAAACGAUGAGUGCUAAGUGUUAGGGGGUUUCCGCCCCUUAGUGCUGCAGCUAACGCAUUAAGCACUCCGCCUGGGGAGUACGGUCGCAAGACUGAAACUCAAAGGAAUUGACGGGGGCCCGCACAAGCGGUGGAGCAUGUGGUUUAAUUCGAAGCAACGCGAAGAACCUUACCAGGUCUUGACAUCCUCUGACAACCCUAGAGAUAGGGCUUUCCCUUCGGGGACAGAGUGACAGGUGGUGCAUGGUUGUCGUCAGCUCGUGUCGUGAGAUGUUGGGUUAAGUCCCGCAACGAGCGCAACCCUUGAUCUUAGUUGCCAGCAUUCAGUUGGGCACUCUAAGGUGACUGCCGGUGACAAACCGGAGGAAGGUGGGGAUGACGUCAAAUCAUCAUGCCCCUUAUGACCUGGGCUACACACGUGCUACAAUGGACAGAACAAAGGGCUGCAAGACCGCAAGGUUUAGCCAAUCCCAUAAAUCUGUUCUCAGUUCGGAUCGCAGUCUGCAACUCGACUGCGUGAAGCUGGAAUCGCUAGUAAUCGCGGAUCAGCAUGCCGCGGUUGAAUACGUUCCCGGGCCUUGUACACACCGCCCGUCACACCACGAGAGUUUGCACACCCGAAGUC
rnacentral:rRNA from 1 species